rnacentral:rRNA from 1 species
AUAAUGACUCUCGGCAACGGAUAUCUCGGCUCUCGCAUCGAUGAAGAACGUAGCGAAAUGCGAUACUUGGUGUGAAUUGCAUAAUCCCGUGAACCAUCGAGUCUUUGAACGCAAGUUGCGCCCGAGGCCACCAGGCUGAGGGCACGUCUGCCUGGGCGUCGCGC